rnacentral:rRNA from 1 species
CACGAAGUUAGCCGGGGCUUCUUCUCACGCUACCGUCAUCAUCGUCGCGUGCGAAAGAGCUUUACAACCCGAAGGCCUUCAUCACUCACGCGGCAUUGCUGGAUCAGGCUUGCGCCCAUCGUCCAAUAUUCCCCACUGCUGCCUCCCGUAGGAGUCUGGGCCGUGUCUCAGUCCCAGUGUGGCUGAUCAUCCUCUCAGACCAGCUAAGGAUCGUUGCCUUGGUAGGCCGUUACCCCACCAACAAGCUAAUCCUACGCGGGCCCAUCCCAUGGCGAUAAAUCUUUGUCCCUCAAGACACAUACGGUAUUAGCUCCAGUUUCCCGGAGUUAUUCCGUACCACAGGGCAGGUUCCCACGCGUUACUCACCCGUGCGCCACUAGGGCCGAAGCCCUCGUUCGACUUGCAUGUGUUAGGCAUGCCGCCAGCGUUCGUUCUGAGCCAGGAUCAAACUCU